CAAUAGCAUAUAUUAACGUUGUUGCAGUUGAAAAGCUCGUAGUUGAACUUUUGGUAGGAGCGACCUGGCCUUGGGCGCAUGCCCUUGUUUGCCGUGUGUCGUAUCUGGCCAUCCUUUUCCGUUUCGGCGGGAAUCCUUUACUGUGAGUAAACUGGAGUGCUCAAAACAAGACGUUUGUUUGGUACAUUAAAGCAUGGAAUAAUAAGAUAGGACCUGGUUACUAUUUUGUUGGUUUGCAUAGCUAGGUAAUGAUUAACAGGGACAGUUGGGGGUAUUCGUAUUUAAUUGUCAGAGGUGAAAUUCUUGGAUUUAUGAAAGACGAACUUCUGCGAAAGCAUUUGCCAAGGAUGUUUUCAUUAA
rnacentral:rRNA from 1 species